rnacentral:sRNA from 2 species
AACCAGGGAUCAGCCUCAAUCACUCGCCGAAACCAACGACAGUUUACCUCAAGUGUGAGUGGAGACUAAGUGGAGAGUUCCACCAGCUUAUUUUUUUCAUUGUUAAUUUGGAAACCAACUUCGCUUGAGCCACGUUCAUAACUGGAAGAUUCCGCGGAGAGAAUGGGGACCUAGUUUUCGCUCCUCUACACAGGACUUGUAUUUCCCAUUCUAGUGGUUGCUGCCGCGAUUGCUCUGCUUGUAAGGCUGGCAUGGAAUACUGGUCGGGGUUCGGGAGCGAGCGGACGGAAGAAUAGGGGAUGCUGCGGCGAUGACAGGACAAGUUCAAACUUGGGACAAGCGGUCUGUGGGCUAGCUGCGAAGUCAAUCCGCCGCUUUGACAUGGAUAACAUAACUGAUACAAGUUGUGCAAGGGGUGAUGGGCAGCCAAGCGUUGUUGUUUCACGCGAAAGGUCACCAGCAGUCCCAUAGUUAUUAUGACCUUUGGGACAUGUCAAUAUGGAUGGGAAUCCUGUUUCGUCCUUGUGGGCGGGAUCUUCGUGUUUCCAAAAAGAUUUACCCAUGCAGUUGAUGCUUGGGGCGGGCGAAUCGAAAUAGAAGCAGG